AUUGAACGCUGGCGGCAUGCUUUACACAUGCAAGUCGAACGGUAACAGGCCUUCGGGUGCUGACGAGUGGCGCACGGGUGAGUAAUGCAUCGGAACGUACCCAGAGGUGGGGGAUAACGCAGCGAAAGCUGUGCUAAUACCGCAUGUGAUCUGAGGAUGAAAGCGGGGGACCGAGCAGCAAUGUUUGGCCUCGCGCCUUUGGAGCGGCCGAUGUCGGAUUAGCUAGUUGGUGGGGUAAAGGCCUACCAAGGCGACGAUCCGUAGCUGGUCUGAGAGGCCGACCAGCCACACUGGGACUGAGACACGGCCCAGACUCCUACGGGAGGCAGCAGUGGGGAAUUUUGGACAAUGGGCGCAAGCCUGAUCCAGCAAUGCCGCGUGCGGGAAGAAGGCCUUCGGGUUGUAAACCGCUUUUGGCAGGAACGAAACGGUGUCCGCUAAUACCGGGCGCUAAUGACGGUACCUGCAGAAUAAGCACCGGCUAACUACGUG
rnacentral:rRNA from 1 species